UACGUAGGGAGCAAGCGUUGUUCGGAUUUACUGGGCGUAAAGGGCGCGUAGGCGGCCUUCUAAGUCGAACGUGAAAUCCCUGGGCUCAACCCAGGAACUGCGUCCGAUACUGGAAGGCUUGAAUCCGGGAGAGGGAUGCGGAAUUCCAGGUGUAGCGGUGAAAUGCGUAGAUAUCUGGAGGAACACCGGUGGCGAAGGCGGCAUCCUGGACCGGUAUUGACGCUGAGGCGCGAAAGCCAGGGGAGCAAACGGG
rnacentral:rRNA from 1 species